AUGAUUUCAGCAUGUAUUCGAAUAUUUUACUGCAAGAACUCCUCGAUCUCAUUUUGAGCUCCGGGAAACUUCACUUAUAUGGAACUAUAAAUAUGCAGAUGUUGAAUUUGGAAGACUUCAAGCUAGGGAUCUGUUGCAGCAUCUUUGGACAGGUCCAAUCUCUAAUGCAUCUCUUGAUGUAGUCCAAGGCAGCCGGUCCGUGGAGGGUCGAUCCGUCGGUGUUACAAAGGGUGCAGCGAUCGAUCGAAUCCUUGGAGAAAUUGGUCAUAACUAAGGCAUGAAGGAACCCAUUGAUUUAGUCCUUUGUAUAGGGAACUUUCUAGCUAAGGAUGAAGACAUUUAUACCUUUUUCGAGCUAGAGCUUCCUUCAGAAGUCCCGACUCCCGUAAGAUCCCAUGUAACACCACCAGUCAGGACAUCUGUUUCAAAAUUAUCGACGAGUAAAAGCGUACCCAGGGAAGAUCGUGCAUCGGUGAUUGAGAGUAACUCAAGCUAUCACGUAAGUGGAGAUGUUAUUAAAUCAAGGGCAGAAGAUAGAACGUCGUUCCAAGAGGGUUUUUCAGUGCUUGACCUUUCGGGGGACAACUAUUUUCCUUGCUCUAUAGCUUGGAAAAGAUCAAACGCUCGGUAUUUCCUUAAAUCACCAAACGGUGUGGUGCACCUCUUAGUAGAGCUG